GGAGCAGGUAUCUUGGCCUCGGUGAGGAGGCAGGCGGAAGUCCCGCCCGCGUGGGACUGGCCACAAGCGGAAGAGCCUCUUUUGAAGCUUUCAUUGGAGAGCAACGCGGCUCCGCCACUCUUUGCAUUCUGGCAGAAAUUGCCCAGGACUCGGGCCAGGACGCCCAGACACCUCACCUGACAGACUGUCUGUGGAGCCUGGGACCACCAAGCUGUGGUGAGGUCUGGACGGGUCUCCAGCGCAGGAGCUUCCGUCCCCAUGGAGUUGCAGGGAGACAGCCAGCGAGAGAGGGAACACAAGC